rnacentral:lncRNA from 1 species
CCUCGUAUCUAAAGUUUCAUCCUUGUCUCCUUCUCUGUACCCUUUUAUAGGAACAUCAUCCAGAAAAGGCAUAGUCUUUUCCGGAAUAAAAUCUCUCAAUACCUUAUUCAUCCCAUUCAUCAUAUGCGCAACUGAGUUGGUUGCGCCUUGAGGAAGAGUGCACAUUCUAACCAAUCCAAGCGGUGUCCUCAUCGUUGUCAUAUCUCUACUUCCUUCGGCAAGUUGAAA